UUUAUAACUCAUUUUAAUAUUCUAGAUUUUGCCUAAAAGAUUCUGCUAAAAUAUAUUUACAAAGAUUAUCAGAAAUUUCAUGUUUGAUACAUAUCUCAAUUUGUUUUCAAAUCAUAGUACCCAGAAGAAAAUUUUCAGGAACAAAGGAAAAUUUUAAUAUUACAGUGGAGACCAAUUUAAUAAUGGUAUAGAACCAGAAGCAGGUCUUGAUUCUCAAUGCCCAGAUUGGGUGGCAGAAUGAAGGAUUGCCUGGGUAUCUAUGACGCACAUUCCUGCUUCCUAAAACAUUUAAACUUUUAUUUAAAAGCAAGGACAUUACAGGAUGCCAUUUUAGUAGAUAAACUUUGACAUAUUAUUAAAUAGUCAUUGUUAAACUACUAAAAAUAUAUUUUAACCUAUUGUAUAUAUAUAUUGGAGAUGCCAACUAAUUUUCUACUUUCUUGCCUGUUUUAUGUAGUUCUAACUUUAAAUAAUGAGAAGAAGCCAUCUGAUUGUUAAUCUUCCUAAGGAUUAAGAUUAUGAAAGGUGAAAAAUAUAUAAAUAUGAAAUAGAAAAGCUGAACAGAAUAUUUAGUACAUACAAUCAUCCUGGAAAUUUUAUAUAUAUAUAUAUAUAUAUAAUAAACUUUAUAUUAUAUAUAAUAUAAACUUUAUAUUUUAUAUAUAUAUAUAUAUAUAUAUAUAUAUAUAUAUAUAUAUAUAUAAAUUUAUGAAAUGAGAAAAGUCAGUUGCUGUAGAAGAAAAUGAAGUGAUGUGACUCAUGAUGGAGCUAAGUCAGCAUGUCUUCAAAAGCAAAUCCUGCCUGUCUAUUGUGUGCAUUAUCAAAUGUAAAGCUUUUGAGGAAAAUCAAAAUGUGGUCUCUGUCCUUCUGAAAGGUGUUUCUGACUUGUGGGGAGGACAAAUCUUGUACAGAUUAACUAUUAAAAAUCAAAGCUCUCAAUGUAACCUGCUACAUCCUGGAAAUUGUGAAGAUUACUUCUCCAGCUCUCUUCACCAAUGUUUAGCUUCAGUGAUGUCACACAAUUUUCUCUACUUCCCUGAAAGAUUAUAUGUUUCCCAUUAUUGACUCUCACUUCCUUUUGUUCCCUCCUCUUUAUCUCCAUUUCUCCACUCUGCUCAGCUUUCUAUUCAUGUGAGGCUACUGUGAUGUUCUUGUUUUCUUUCUCAUUUUCUUUGCCACCUCUCUGUUUCUUACACCACUAACAAAACUUCUGCUACCUUCUUUUCCAUUUCAUUACCUGGAUAAAACAGUUACUAAAUUUAUACAGUUUCUGAUUAUCAAACAUUUCUGUUUGGAUCAUAUUUUAAUAUAUACUCUUGAUCAAAUUUUAUACUCAUUGAUCAAAUUUAUAUACAUUAAACACCAGAGACAAACUUAGGAAUCAAAGGUGAGAUUGUUAGAAAGAAAUGAUCCUUGACUUCAACAGAACCAUAAUAAAACCCGUAAAUCCAUUUACUCCUUUCUUUAAUCCACAGAUGUUGUGAGAUUUGGGGACCUUCCCUAAAUUUAUAAAAUGAGAAAAUUAAUUACCAUAUGGCAAAGAUAAACAGCUCAUGGUAUAUAAUAGAUAUUGUCAGCCUGGAUUCAGACCCAGGAAAUAGAUUUAUGAUUCUGUCAUGUAGAAUAAGAUGCAAGAUAUGGUUGGGAUAGUAGAAAUGAUUUAUUUGGAGGUUAUAAUAGCCCCUAGCCAGUCUCCAGCUUCAACUUGGCCCCUAGCCAGCUCUAUUUUGCCCCCUGAACCAUUUCUAUAGGCCCUUCUUAUAUACAGGCCAGACAAAGAAGGUCCACUACAAACAGGUUAUAACAGUGGGCACAUGUUCACAAGAAAAUGUUUAUAACCUUGAGUACACAUACUGAAUCACAGUGUUUAUGAUCUUGACGACACAUUAAAUCAUAGCCUGCCAGAAGCCUCAGUGAUGGAGCCUAUCUGUAGCCAUUUUGAGUCUACCCUACAACUAUGCAGAUAUUUAUUGAGCUUUAUCUGAUUAUUUAAUGAAGUGACCUAAGGAAACAUUUACAUAGAAAAAUAAAGUUGUGUUUAGGAAAAAAAAAAUGGAGACAAUUACUAACAUGAAAUAGAUGGAAAAAUUAUUGUAGAAAGAUGAUACUGAUAUUUAUUAGUUUAAAAUAUUCUGUAAUGAAAAGACUACAUUUUGUUUUUUUUAAUGGAUGAAAGCAAAACUGUGCAUAAUUUGGAUCUAUUCCUAAAGGAAUUAUGAAACCUUGUUUCUAUAAACAUUUUAAGAAAACAAUGUAGAAAUUAUUGCUUGUAUAGAAUUAGAAUAGUCUUAUGUGAGGGCAGGCACUUAACAUUGGGCCUAAUGUCCUAAUUAAAUACAUGUAGCUCUUUGCAUCUAAACCUUUCUUUUAUCUUCUUUGACAUCUCUAUUUAUAAAAUGUUAAAAUUUGGGUGAAAGAAAUAAUUCCCCAAAGUAAUACCAGGAUAUGCAAUGCUAACUUUCAUAAAUAGUCUUUUUGCUUUGUAGAUUGGAACAUAAAAUAUAUUGAAAUAUAAAAAUAUUGUUCCUGAUGUAGAGAAAUCAUGAAUUUUAAAUAUUUUAGAUAUGUCACUCAUUUAAUACUUUAAACAAAUGCAGCAUUUCUCAAAAAAUACAUUUUAAGUUCUGGAAGAGAGGAAAAGAGCUAUGGUCUCCUCUACAUUUACAUAUAAUGUUUGCAUAUUGAAAAGCACAUUUUGAGAGCCACCAGCUAACUGUAGGCUUUGAAGUCUCCCUUAAAGGCAUAUCUUAAAGAUGUAUAUAUUUAUUAUACACAAGGACUUCUUUUGCACAUGUGGUAACAUUUGAAUAGAAAACAGUCUUUAAUGAAAGUACAUAAAUAAUCCAGUGUUCUAUAACAUUGAAUGGAGUCAAAUGCUAUAACCAUCAAGCAAGAAAAUCUGAAUAUAGUCCUUGCCUCUGGAUUUGGUCAGUAGACUAGAUGUCCUGAUCAUUUAAAAUGAAAAUUGCCAGAGAUUUGGGGACAGUCAUAUUUUUUUAAAUGAGACUUCAUUUAAAUAUAGUUUAAUGAUAUUUUUUAAAAUGAGACAUCACUAAAAUAUAGUUUAAUGAUAUUAAAAUCAUUAUAUCAUUAAAACACAGUUAAUAUAUUGAAAUACAUAGGCACUUUGAUAGCAUUCAAAAGAUUUUUUUUUUCUCCAAAGACAUCACAAUUAAUAGGGAAACCCUGAAAAGAGUUUUCUGCUAGAUACAUGGCCAAAAGAAAGAUGCCUUCUAUCAUCAUUGUUUACUUUGUUGCUAUUAUGCAGUGUAAUGAGAUAAACAGAAGUUUGAAUAAAUAGAAGUUGGAAAUUUCGAAUAGUAGUUGUGACUAGGAGUAUUAGUUUUUAUAAACCCACAAACCACAAAAAUAUUCUUAUUUAUUCAUAUACUAGUUGAUUGUACAAAUAGUGUACACGAUUAAAUAGUAUUUAUAUAUGCAACUUACUUGAAUUAGACAAUAACAGAAGAAAAUAUUCCAUUUUUAGAAGUAGCAAGCACAACACUAAAAUAUCAGUUCAUUUGGUGCUGUUAUAACAGAGUGUCUAAUUCAGUAAUGUAUAAAGAACAGGAAAGUAUUUUCUCAUGAUUCUGGAGGCUAGGAAGUUCAAGGUCAAGAUACCAGUGUCCGGUGUCUGUUAAGGGUAUUCUUUCUGCAUUCUCACAUGGAUAAGGAAGAAGGACAACAGAGCAAAUUUGUCAAAAGCCAAGUGAAGCCUCUUCAAUAAGAGUCUUCAUCCCAUUCAUCAGAAGGGGUCCUCUUGCCCUAGUCAAUUCUCAAAGGGCCUACCUCUUAAUAUUAUUACAUUGGAGUAUCUAAAUUUUGGAGAGAACACAUUCAAACCAUAGAUAGCAUCACACAAAAAAUUUCAAGAAAUAUAUUAAUGAAAAUUUCAGAUUUUCUUCAUAUCAAAAGUUAUUGAGGGAAAUUUGAACAAAUAUGAAAAUAAAGUUCCCAAGAAAAAUCAAGAAGUGUAUAGAAAUACUCUCAAGCUAGAAAUUACUGAGGAGGACUAAUACAAUUUGGUAAUGAAAUCCAAUAUUUCAAAUUUCCAGUAUUUAAAACUUUGUAGUACUGAUGCAUGAAUUGGCAGCUCAGACAAUGCAGCAAAAUGUUAAAUGCAUAUAUAUACACAAAUUCAGAUGUAAAUUUGGUAUAUGCUGGAGGGAUAAUCUGAUUACUAUUAGUGUAUAGCAAAAUAUCCCCCCAAUUUUUUUUUCUUUUUUUCUUUUUUUAUAUCCCCCAAAUUAACAACUUAAAAAUUAUAAUUAUCAUCACUGACAAUUUCUGUGGGAUAGAAAUUUGGGAGCAUCUUAGCUGUAUAGUUCUGCCUCUGGCUAGUCCUAGGAUCAUCUCAAAAGUGUCUUCAUGCAUAUGCUGGUACCUGAGUUGACAGCUUUGUUAAUGGACAAGUCAGAACUUCACAUGACCUUCUAUCUCUUCAGUUGGUUCCCUGACCAUUGCAG
rnacentral:lncRNA from 1 species